GCUCAUGAUUGGCCAGGGAUAACAGCCAAUCACCAACGAGAUUAAACCCCCUCCCCCUCGCUCUUUAUUCCCUGAGAGGCGUGGUCUCUGGCUGUCUCCUUCUGCCCCUUGUCUCUGCCCUCGCCCAGCCUAGCGCUUCUGAUGGCUUUUUCAGCUGCUGGACCACUACACACAACACACCGGCUGCCAAGAUUGAGCUCCCUGACAUUAGGACCAAAACUUAAGCAUCUGGAGAGCAAGGCUCCUGACCCCACAGGUAGAAGUUUCAGCUGUGGCAUUUAAGGGUUACUUAACAGGAAGAGAUUUUCCAGCUAAGGUAGGAGCUUUCGUUUCGUUUGCCCCCUCCAUGUGCCUCACUCCAGACCUGUCAGCAGUGCUUCUUCUCCUGCACAGUGACACAGACGGGGCCCUGCUCUCUCUCACGUUCCAGAGGACAUCAGGAUCCACUGCCUUGUCAUCAAUUCCAGAAGAAUGAGGUCUCCCCCCACAAGCUCUUCCCUUCCUGGUUCCCUCUCCUAAUUAACUACUCAGCUAAUUGUUACAGGAUCACCACAGAGCUGGAGUCCAAGGACCAUCAGAUAUACCCAGGUGCUCCAGAAAAAUCCACGUGGACAGGUCGGCGAGCUCUGGAACCAGCUUGAAUCCACCUGGACAGUACCCAAAAGCAGCAGAGGACCCCAGGACGGCUGGUUACUGCAGUGGCCCCCUUCCCUAUCCCCUCAAGAGUCAACCCAUGCCCACCAGGUCAGCUGGAAGCAGUUUUUCCAGGAGAAACGAUGCCCCUAUUCCUGUUCACCUGCUUUUUUAUAAUAAGCAAAAAGUUGGGACUAUUAGGAUUCUGCCACCACUCCAGCUGCAUGACUGCACAUGCGCAGUUCAGCAGCUUAUAAGUAAGGGGUCUUACAUCUUGCAGCAUCAGUGUGCUUCGUGAUCGCGUGAAUGCAUGCAGCACAGUCACGCAGUCAGUGCAUGCAUGGUUUAGUUCCAUAAGCCUACCUGCACAUGUGCACGGGAAUCCUUAAAAAGCUGGACACAGACGACUCCUGUCACUCCUCUGCUCUCUUCCCCCACCAUACCUCCCUCCCUCCCUCUCUCUCUCCUCUCUGCACAUGCUUCUUCCCCAGGCCCCAGGCCUGGUUCUUUUGUUGUCAUUCCCUCCGCCCCCAAAACCUUCCUCCUAAUAAAGCUGAUACUGGGUUUUGUCCUGGC